AAAGUGAGCCGCAGGGCGCUUUGCGCGACAGCGCAAAGGCAGGCGGUUUCGCGUAGCGAAAGCGAAUGCUUUGGGGUGGGGUGACUGCGUACCUUUUGUAUAAUGGGUCAGCGACUUAUAUUCUGUAGCAAGGUUAACCGAAUAGGGGAGCCGGAGGGAAACCGAGUCUUAAUUGGGCGUUAAGUUGCAGGGUAUAGACCCGAAACCCGGUGAUCUAGCCAUGGGCAGGUUGAAGGUUGGGUAACACUAACUGGAGGACCGAACCGACUAAUGUUGAAAAAUUAGCGGAUGACCUGUGGCUGGGGGUGAAAGGCCAAUCAAACCGGGAGAUAGCUGGUUCUCCCCGAAAGCUAUUUAGGUAGCGCCUCGUGAAUUCAUCUCCGGGGGUAGAGCACUGUUUCGGCUAGGGGGCCAUCCCGGCUUACCAACCCGAUGCAAACUGCGAAUACCGGAGAAUGUUAUCACGGGAGACACACGGCGGGUGCUAACGUCCGUCGUGAAGAGGGAAACAACCCAGACCGCCAGCUAAGGUCCCAAAGUCAUGGUUAAGUGGGAAACGAUGUGGGAAGGCCCAGACAGCCAGGAUGUUGGCUUAGAAGCAGCCAUCAUUUAAAGAAAGCGUAAUAGCUCACUGGUCGAGUCGGCCUGCGCGGAAGAUGUAACGGGGCUAAACCAUGCACCGAAGCUGCGGCAGCGACACUGUGUGUUGUUGGGUAGGGGAGCGUUCUGUAAGCCUGUGAAGGUGUGUCGUGAGGCAUGCUGGAGGUAUCAGAAGUGCGAAUGCUGACAUAAGUAACGAUAAAGCGGGUGAAAAGCCCGCUCGCCGGAAGACCAAGGGUUCCUGUCCAACGUUAAUCGGGGCAGGGUGAGUCGACCCCUAAGGCGAGGCCGAAAGGCGUAGUCGAUGGGAAACGGGUUAAUAUUCCCGUACUUGGUGUUACUGCGAAGGGGGGACGGAGAAGGCUAUGUUGGCCGGGCGACGGUUGUCCCGGUUUAAGCGUGUAGGUGUGUGUUCCAGGUAAAUCCGGUUCACUUUAACACUGAGGCGUGACGACGAGGCACUACGGUGCUGAAGCAACAAAUGCCCUGCUUCCAGGAAAAGCCUCUAAGCAUCAGGUAACAUCAAAUCGUACCCCAAACCGACACAGGUGGUCAGGUAGAGAAUACCAAGGCGCUUGAGAGAACUCGGGUGAAGGAACUAGGCAAAAUGGUGCCGUAACUUCGGGAGAAGGCACGCUGACACGUAGGUGAAGUGAUUUACUCAUGGAGCUGAAGUCAGUCGAAGAUACCAGCUGGCUGCAACUGUUUAUUAAAAACACAGCACUGUGCAAACACGAAAGUGGACGUAUACGGUGUGACGCCUGCCCGGUGCCGGAAGGUUAAUUGAUGGGGUCAGCGCAAGCGAAGCUCCUGAUCGAAGCCCCGGUAAACGGCGGCCGUAACUAUAACGGUCCUAAGGUAGCGAAAUUCCUUGUCGGGUAAGUUCCGACCUGCACGAAUGGCGUAAUGAUGGCCAGGCUGUCUCCACCCGAGACUCAGUGAAAUUGAACUCGCUGUGAAGAUGCAGUGUACCCGCGGCAAGACGGAAAGACCCCGUGAACCUUUACUAUAGCUUGACACUGAACAUUGAGCCUUGAUGUGUAGGAUAGGUGGGAGGCUUUGAAGUGUGGACGCCAGUCUGCAUGGAGCCGACCUUGAAAUACCACCCUUUAAUGUUUGAUGUUCUAACGUGGACCCGUUACCCGGGUUGCGGACAGUGUCUGGUGGGUAGUUUGACUGGGGCGGUCUCCUCCUAAAGAGUAACGGAGGAGCACGAAGGUUGGCUAAUCCUGGUCGGACAUCAGGAGGUUAGUGCAAUGGCAUAAGCCAGCUUGACUGCGAGCGUGACGGCGCGAGCAGGUGCGAAAGCAGGUCAUAGUGAUCCGGUGGUUCUGAAUGGAAGGGCCAUCGCUCAACGGAUAAAAGGUACUCCGGGGAUAACAGGCUGAUACCGCCCAAGAGUUCAUAUCGACGGCGGUGUUUGGCACCUCGAUGUCGGCUCAUCACAUCCUGGGGCUGAAGUAGGUCCCAAGGGUAUGGCUGUUCGCCAUUUAAAGUGGUACGCGAGCUGGGUUUAGAACGUCGUGAGACAGUUCGGUCCCUAUCUGCCGUGGGCGCUGGAGAACUGAGGGGGGCUGCUCCUAGUACGAGAGGACCGGAGUGGACGCAUCACUGGUGUUCGGGUUGUCAUGCCAAUGGCACUGCCCGGUAGCUAAAUGCGGAAGAGAUAAGUGCUGAAAGCAUCUAAGCACGAAACUUGCCCCGAG
rnacentral:rRNA from 1 species